CACUAAAUUUAUUUCUAUAUUCGAUAUAAACUUGUUUAUUAGGUUUUUAGUUUGUGAUGUUUCAUGUGAUGAUCAUUUUCAUGUUCAUCGUCUUUGAAUUGACAUGAGGAUAUCUAUGGAAAAGUAACUAAUCUGAAAGUAAGCCAACAUAUCGUUUGUCCUUUGUGUGCUAAAGAAAAGAUUUUCUUUUCGCAUCGUGAGGAAGUAUUACAUCAAUUAAAAAAUGUUAGGAAGUUGAUUACUUGUCAUGGAAAAGUAUACCAAUGGAAAUUAUUUGUUAAAGAAGUAUAAUUCUAAGGGUUUUAAGAAUAAAUUGGUUGAACCCAAAAUCUGGAGGAAGUACCUAUAUCCAUACACAGAAUAUGCCCAUUAAGAAUACUAGUCCAAAUUUGCUUUAAUGGAACGAUUAGGGCCCGAUAUAUUUGAAACUCAUGUUGGACAUAGUAUUGAGUUGGGUAGAAUAUUAUUCUACGUUAAGUGAGGAUAUCAGAUACCUAUUAUUGUACUGUAUUUUAAUAUAUACAUUAGAAUUGUUGGUUUUUUCAUAUUUGUUUUAUAUAUUAUUUUACUUACAAGUUAUAUAAAGUUAACACUAAAAUCUACUUUUUGACUUAUAUAAGUUAGUCUGUGGUUUAAUGCGUGAUUACAUCCACAUUAUGAUUUCAAGUUUUUAAAAUAUAAAUAUUAUAACUGGCUUUAAAAACUCCAUUAAACUGUUAAAAGUGUAAUUUAUUUCAAAAUAAAUAUACAUAUACCUAUACCUAGGUAUAUAUUAAUAUCGAAAAAUAUAUAUUAAUAUC
rnacentral:lncRNA from 1 species